UACGUAGGGUGCGAGCGUUGUCCGGAAUUACUGGGCGUAAAGGGUGCGUAGGUGGUUUCUUAAGUCAGAGGUGAAAGGCUACGGCUCAACCGUAGUAAGCCUUUGAAACUGGGAAACUUGAGUGCAGGAGAGGAGAGUGGAAUUCCUAGUGUAGCGGUGAAAUGCGUAGAUAUUAGGAGGAACACCAGUUGCGAAGGCGGCUCUCUGGACUGUAACUGACACUGAGGCACGAAAGCGUGGGGAGCAAACAGGAUUAGAUACCCCUGUAGUCCCUGAG
rnacentral:rRNA from 1 species